rnacentral:misc_RNA from 1 species
AUUUUUUUUCUCUCCAUUUUCACAUUUCUUGUGCUUUUCAUCUUUGAUUUUAUAGGAGACUUGUAUACAUUUGUCUUCCAUUCCUUAACUCAGGGGUUUUGUUUACAAGCUUCAAUUAAUGUUUAAUACGUGGGAAAGUUCGCGAUUUUCACUUCUUUCAAGUAUUCAAUGUGAUUUUUCUUUGAGGUAAGAGACAUGGGCUUUGUUCUUCUUUUUAUUAUGAUUUUAGCUUAAAAAUGGGUUUUAUGGGUCUUUUUUUGUUUAUUUUGAAUGAUGGGUUCUGUUUUCAUGGGGUUUUGAUCAUGUGGGAAGAGAAGAAAUGGUAACUUUUAGCUCAAAAAAUUUGAGGUCUUUUGAAAAAGAAAAAUUGAGGGCUUUGUUUCUCCUAGAUUUGAAUUUGAUAUGGAAUAAGCGAGUCUGGUGAUCUUGAACUAGAUUUAAAAAAAAAAUUUUUUUGGUGGAUGAUGGAUUAUAUAAUUUUAUGUUUUUACUAUAUGUUCUAAAAUUUUAAUUUUUUUGGGUCUGGUGCGAUGUUUCUCGUGUAUUUGGUCGUCUGGAAGUGAAAAGUAAGAUUAUCUGUUUGCAAUAUUCUUGGGUUUUUGCUGUUUCUGGGACUGGGCUUAUAUUACACGAUAAAAUUGUGGAACUAAAUAUGGCACCAGAAGCUUUUGCGGUGUGUUGACUUGUGAAUACUGAUUUGGUGAAGAGCAGGGAAGUUGAAAUUGGGAGUGGAAAGUGAGAUACUUUGGGGAUGAAAGGAAUCAUAGUUGGUGUUGGGAGGAGUUGGAUUUUAAAGUGAAGAAAAAUUGGUAAUUUGAAGUUAUUUAGAGGCUGUAGUGGAUUCGUAAAGCGAGUUUUUUUUUUAGGUUGACUCGUUCUUGAGGUUGAAUUGUGCUUAAAAAUGGAUGACACUGAGGAUGAUGCAAGGUACCCCCCAAACCCAUAUGGUGUGAAUCACCAGCAGGGUUAUGGUUCUUCAAAUCGACAAAAACUUCCUGUGAAGAAUGCUACAUAUUCCAGGACAGUUGGUAAUCAAUAUGUUGAUGUUGAUGAAGAAGACGAGAAUGAAGAAGAAGAAGAAGAUGAAGAGGAGUUGGGAGAAGACUAUAGAGAGAAUAAUCAAAAUAAUGGUAUUGGGUAUGUGGGAAAAGAUGUGGAUGAUGAUGAGGAGGAUGAGGAUGACGAUGAUGAUGAGGAUCCAGAUGUU